UUAUAACGUCCUGCCAAACCC
rnacentral:siRNA from 1 species